rnacentral:rRNA from 1 species
UACGGGGGGGGUAAGCGUUGCUCGGAAUUACUGGGCGUAAAGCGCACGUAGGCGGCUUUCUAAGUCGGGGGUGAAAUCCUGGAGCUCAACUCCAGAACUGCCUUCGAUACUGGAAAGCUCGAGUCCGGGAGAGGUGAGUGGAACUGCGAGUGUAGAGGUGAAAUUCGUAGAUAUUCGCAAGAACACCAGUGGCGAAGGCGGCUCACUGGCCCGGUACUGACGCUGAGGUGCGAAAGCGUGGGGAGCAAACAGG